CAGCUUAAAUAACUACAUUUGUUAAUUGAAGUCAAUUUGAGAAAUAACAUAAUUAGCUGGGCUGCCAUCAUUUUCUCUUUUACAUGUGGCAUUUGAAAAAACAGGGAAAAAAUGGACACUAAUAUGUAUUGAGUGUGGUAAUAAAUAUUUCAUACUGCAACAUUUAAUGCUAAGAUUACAAAAUUAGCAGCUAUUAAGAUUCCAUGAUGAUACAAUAGAAAUCACUAACAAAAAGGUAUUUGGGCAGUGGUUGUUACUGUCACCAUCCCCCACUCCGGUCACGGUGGCCACCCAAAAACACAGGAGGAAUCAGCGGCAAUUCACCGUGGCUCCAAUGAUUGAGUAGCUAUGUUAUGAGCAUAUUUGACUACAUGUGACAAUAACAUCAAAGACACGUAUUGCAGAUUUAUGGUCCUUCCAUGUACAAAACUUAUGACAAGGUUUAUUAACCUCAGAUUACUUGCGCUUAU
rnacentral:lncRNA from 1 species